GAUGAACGCUGGCGGCGUGCCUAAUACAUGCAAGUCGAGCGAACGGACGAGAAGCUUGCUUCUCUGAUGUUAGCGGCGGACGGGUGAGUAACACGUGGAUAACCUACCUAUAAGACUGGGAUAACUUCGGGAAACCGGAGCUAAUACCGGAUAAUAUUUUGAACCGCAUGGUUCAAAAGUGAAAGACGGUCUUGCUGUCACUUAUAGAUGGAUCCGCGCUGCAUUAGCUAGUUGGUAAGGUAACGGCUUACCAAGGCAACGAUGCAUAGCCGACCUGAGAGGGUGAUCGGCCACACUGGAACUGAGACGCGGUCCAGACUCCUACGGGAGGCAGCAGUAGGGAAUCUUCCGCAAUGGGCGAAAGCCUGACGGAGCAACGCCGCGUGAGUGAUGAAGGUCUUCGGAUCGUAAAACUCUGUUAUUAGGGAAGAACAUAUGUGUAAGUAACUGUGCACAUCUUGACGGUACCUAAUCAGAAAGCCACGGCUAACUACGUGCCAGCAGCCGCGGUAAUACGUAGGUGGCAAGCGUUAUCCGGAAUUAUUGGGCGUAAAGCGCGCGUAGGCGGUUUUUUAAGUCUGAUGUGAAAGCCCACGGCUCAACCGUGGAGGGUCAUUGGAAACUGGAAAACUUGAGUGCAGAAGAGGAAAGUGGAAUUCCAUGUGUAGCGGUGAAAUGCGCAGAGAUAUGGAGGAACACCAGUGGCGAAGGCGACUUUCUGGUCUGUAACUGACGCUGAUGUGCGAAAGCGUGGGGAUCAAACAGGAUUAGAUACCCUGGUAGUCCACGCCGUAAACGAUGAGUGCUAAGUGUUAGGGGGUUUCCGCCCCUUAGUGCUGCAGCUAACGCAUUAAGCACUCCGCCUGGGGAGUACGACCGCAAGGUUGAAACUCAAAGGAAUUGACGGGGACCCGCACAAGCGGUGGAGCAUGUGGUUUAAUUCGAAGCAACGCGAAGAACCUUACCAAAUCUUGACAUCCUUUGACAACUCUAGAGAUAGAGCUUUCCCCUUCGGGGGACAAAGUGACAGGUGGUGCAUGGUUGUCGUCAGCUCGUGUCGUGAGAUGUUGGGUUAAGUCCCGCAACGAGCGCAACCCUUAAGCUUAGUUGCCAUCAUUAAGUUGGGCACUCUAAGUUGACUGCCGGUGACAAACCGGAGGAAGGUGGGGAUGACGUCAAAUCAUCAUGCCCCUUAUGAUUUGGGCUACACACGUGCUACAAUGGACAAUACAAAGGGCAGCGAAACCGCGAGGUCAAGCAAAUCCCAUAAAGUUGUUCUCAGUUCGGAUUGUAGUCUGCAACUCGACUACAUGAAGCUGGAAUCGCUAGUAAUCGUAGAUCAGCAUGCUACGGUGAAUACGUUCCCGGGUCU
rnacentral:rRNA from 1 species